rnacentral:rRNA from 1 species
UACAGAGGUCUCGAGCGUUAGGCGGAAUCACUGGGCUUAAAGCGUGUGUAGGUGGAUGCCUAAGUACCUUGUGAAAUCCCACAGCUUAACUGUGGAACUGCUUGGUAUACUGGGUGUCUUGAGUCACUCAGGGGCGAGCGGAACAGAUGGUGGAGCGGUGAAAUGCGUAGAUAUCAUCUGGAACGCCAAUGGUGAAAACAGCUCGCUGGGGGUGUGCAGACGCUGAGACACGAAAGCCAGGGGAGCGAACGGG